rnacentral:tRNA from 1 species
UCCUUUGUGGCCGAGUGGUUAAGGAUUUGGCAUUGUCAUUGCUGUGGCUCAGGUUUGAUCCCUGACCUGGGAA